rnacentral:misc_RNA from 1 species
CUAGCCAUAACCCAUUAAGAAAAUUGCCCAAAUAAUGAGAGUCGAAAAAGUUAGGGACUUGGGCAGCGUGUGCCACAAACUCACCAAUAUAAUUGACAAUGGAUGUCAUCUGUUGAACAGCAACAAAAUGGUCAUAGGGAUUAUUUGUAAUUUAACCACCAUAGCAUUGGAGAAGCUUAGCAGUUAACUAUUCCCAAGUUAUACGAUAGUUGCGCUGAUAAAGCCAACGAAGCCAGUGGAGGGGAGGACCCUCCAUAGUAACCUGAGUAAAAGAAACUUUGAGAUUUGGGCAUCUAGCAUUUCGAAAUAUUGCUUGACUUUGGCAAUCCAACCAAUUGGGUAAGUUCCAUCGAAGAAUGGCAUUUUCGCUUUCUUUGCUAUAAGAGGAGAAUCGUCAAAGAGGAGAGCUCAGGCAUUGGUGGAAGCCGAAGAUACAUCACCCAUGGAUGCUUACUGUAAGUGGGAUUGGACGUGUCACCUUAGUGCUGAAUAGGUUUGAUAAUUUCUAGUUAAGUAAAACAUUGAUCUUGUUCUACCCAAAGGGUAAAGCAAGCCUCCUGAUCAAUUCAAGAAUCCAUUCGCGUUUUGGUCAUGAGCUAAAAUGGCAGGUCAAACCAAUUUGGUAGAUUAAUGAACUAAAAUGAGACCAAAAAUACAUAACAUAGGUGGAAUUGAUUUCUAUAGUAAUAUUUCAAAGGAACAAUACAGCAACUUCUCAAAAGUUCCAAAGACAAUUCCACAAUGACAACAGUAAAAGAAAAUAGAAGAAAUGGCACAUAAAGCCUCCAAAGAUGUUACGCCCGAACAAAAAAGG